AUACGGGAGGCAGCAGUGGGGAAUUUUGGACAAUGGGCGCAAGCCUGAUCCAGCCAUGCCGCGUGCGGGAAGAAGGCCUUCGGGUUGUAAACCGCUUUUGUACGGAACGAAACGGCGAUCUCUAAUACAGAUUGCUAAUGACGGUACCGUAAGAAUAAGCACCGGCUAACUACGUGCCAGCAGCCGCGGUAAUACGUAGGGUGCGAGCGUUAAUCGGAAUUACUGGGCGUAAAGCGUGCGCAGGCGGUCUUGUAAGACAGAUGUGAAAUCCCCGGGCUUAACCUGGGAACUGCAUUUGUGACUGCAAGGCUAGAGUACGGCAGAGGGGGAUGGAAUUCCGCGUGUAGCAGUGAAAUGCGUAGAUAUGCGGAGGAACACCGAUGGCGAAGGCAGUCCCCUGGGCCUGUACUGACGCUCAUGCACGAAAGCGUGGGGAGCAAACAGGAUUAGAUACCCGUGUAGUCCG
rnacentral:rRNA from 1 species